CGGGUGAUGAGAGUCAGAGCCCGGAGACGGAAUCUGAGACAAGAUUCCGGGCCCUACGGGGCGCAGCAGGCGCGAAACCUUUACACUGCACGGAAGUGCGAUAGGGGAAUCCCAAGUGCGAGGGCAUAUUAGCCCUCGCUUUUCUCGACUCUAAGGUGGUCGACGAAUAAGAGCUGGGCAAGACCGGUGCCAGCCGCCGCGGUAAUACCGGCAGCUCAAGUGAUGUCCCAUAUUAUUGGGCCUAAAGCGUCCGUAGCUGGCCGACCAAGUCUAUCGGGAAAUCCACCCGCCCAACGGGUGGGCGUCCGGUAGAAACUGGCCGGCUUGGAACCGGAAGGCUCAGAGAGUACGUCCGGGGUAGGAGUGAAAUCCCGUAAUCCCGGACGGACUACCGAUGGCGAAAGCACUCUGAGAAGACGGAUUCGACAGUGAGGGACGAAAGCUCGGGUCUCAAACCGGAUUAGAUACCCGGGUAGUCCGAGCCGUAAACGAUGCUCGUUAGGUGUGGCACCCACUACGAGUGGGUGCUGCGCCGUAGGGAAGCCGCUAAACGAGCCGCCUGGGAAGUACGUCCGCAAGGAUGAAACUUAAAGGAAUUGGCGGGGGAGCACUACAACCGGAGGAGCCUGCGGUUUAAUUGGACUCAACGCCGGACAUCUCACCAGCCCCGACAUCAGUAAUGACAGUCAUGUUGACGACAUCCGCUCGAGCUGAUGAGAGGAGGUGCAUGGCCGCCGUCAGCUCGUACCGUGAGGCAUCCUGUUAAGUCAGGCAACGAGCGAGAUCCACGUCCCUAAUUGCCAGCACCAUCGCACGAUGGGUGGGUACAUUAGGGAGACUGCCAGUGCUAAACUGGAGGAAGGAAUGGGCAACGGUAGGUCAGUAUGCCCCGAAUGGGCUGGGCAACACGCGGGCUACAAUGGUCAGGACAACGGGUUCCAACACUGAAAAGUGACGGUAAUCUCGCAAACCUGGUCGUAGUUCGGAUUGUGGGCUGAAACUCGCCCACAUGAAGCUGGAUUCGGUAGUAAUCGCGUGUCAGAAGCGCGCGGUGAAUACGUCCCUGCUCCUUGCACACACCGCCCGUCAAAGCACCCGAGUGAGGUCCGGAUGAGGCCACAUCACUGUGGUCAAAUCUGGGCUUCGCAAGGGGGCUUAAGUCGUAACAAGGUAACCGUA
rnacentral:rRNA from 1 species